GAUGAACGCUGGCGGCGUGCCUAAUACAUGCAAGUCGAGCGAACGGACGAGAAGCUUGCUUCUCUGAUGUUAGCGGCGGACGGGUGAGUAACACGUGGCUAACCUACCUAUAAGACUGGGAUAACUUCGGGAAACCGGAGCUAAUACCGGAUAAUAUUUUGAACCGCAUGAUUCAAAAGUGAACGACGGUCUUGCUGUCACUUAUAGAUGGAUCCGCGCUGCAUUAGCUAGUUGGUAAGGUAACGGCUUACCAAGGCAACGAUGCAUAGCCGACCUGAGAGGGUGAUCGGCCACACUGGAACUGAGACACGGUCCAGACUCCUACGGGAGGCAGCAGUAGGGAAUCUUCCGCAAUGGGCGAAAGCCUGACGGAGCAACGCCGCGUGAGUGAUGAAGGUCUUCGGAUCGUAAAACUCUGUUAUUAGGGAAGAACAUAUGUGUAAGUAACUGUGCACAUCUUGACGGUACCUAAUCAGAAAGCCACGGCUAACUACGUG
rnacentral:rRNA from 1 species